rnacentral:rRNA from 1 species
UACGAAGGGGGCUAGCGUUGCUCGGAAUCACUGGGCGUAAAGAGCUUGUAGGCGGUCUGUCGCGUCUGCUGUGAAAAUCCGGGGCUCAACCCCGGACUUGCAGUGGGUACGGGCAGACUAGAGUGUGGUAGGGGAGACUGGAAUUCCUGGUGUAGCGGUGAAAUGCGCAGAUAUCAGGAAGAACACCCGUGGCGAAGGCGGCUCUCUGGGACGGUACUGACGCUGAGACGCGAAAGCGUGGGGAGCGAACAGG